rnacentral:rRNA from 1 species
UUGACCGUGCCAAAGGUAGCAUAAUCAAUUGUCUUUUAAUUGAAGGCUUGUAUGAAUGGUUGAAUGAGAUAUAAACUAUUUUUAUUUUAUAAAAAAUGAAUUUUAAUUUUUAGUAAAAAUGCUAAAUUAAUAAAAUAAGACGAGAAGACCCUAUAAAUCUUGAUUUAUAAAAAAAAAUUUAUUUUUAUGAAAAAUAAAAUUAUUUUUUUAAAAAAAUUUUAUUGGGGCGAUAAUGAAAUUUAAUAAACUUUUAUUUUUUUUUAAUUAAUAUAAUAAAUUUAUUGAUCCAUUAUUAAUGAUUAAAAAAUUAAGUUACUUUAGGGAUAACAGCGUAAUUAUUUUAAAGAGUUCUUAUCGAUAAAAUAGAUUGCGACUCUCGAUGUUGAAUUAUAGAGUAAUCGUACCGUGUCAGAAGUUAGCAUUGU